rnacentral:lncRNA from 1 species
AUCGAUUGGGUCGAAGUCGGUGUUGAUACUCUAGUAGUUGCUAGAGAUGAAUUGAGUGAUACUAGUCCUCGACUUAAGGCGAUUGUGUUGGCGGCCGACAACACAAUGCCGAGAGUCAAGAACGGGUACACUCAUGAGCUUCCGUCUGAUUUGUGUGAUUAAGUUGUAUCGUGUCGUAACUACGAAGACGUUGUUGGGUUAAGUAAUUAACCGAUUGUUUGCGUUUCAGGAGCGGAUGGCACCAAGGAGACGCUACGUGCGUAGGACUGCUCC